rnacentral:tRNA from 1 species
GGGGGUGUAGCUCAGAUGGUAGAGCGCGCGCUUAGCAUGCGCGAGGUACCGGAAUCGAUACCCGGCACCUCCA